GACAGAGGUGCCGAGCGUUAGGCGGAAUCACUGGGCUCAAAGCGCGUGUAGGUGGCGGCCUAAGUACCUUGUGAAAUCCUGCGGCUCAACCGCAGAACUGCUUGGUAUACUGGGUCGCUUGAGACAUUCAGGGGCAACUGGAACAAGCGGUGGAGCGGUGAAAUGCGUAGAUAUCGCUUGGAACGCCAAAGGUGAAAACAGGUUGCUGGGGAUGUUCUGACACUGAGACGCGAAAGCCAGGGGAGCGAACGGG
rnacentral:rRNA from 1 species